rnacentral:rRNA from 1 species
UACGUAGGGCGCAAGCGUUGUCCGGAAUUACUGGGCGUAAAGGGCGCGUAGGCGGCCCGCUAAGUCGAACGUGAAAUCCCCGAGCUCAACUCGGGAACUGCGUCCGAUACUGGCGGGCUUGAAUCCGGGAGAGGGAUGCGGAAUUCCAGGUGUAGCGGUGAAAUGCGUAGAUAUCGGGAGGAACACCAGUGGCGAAGGCGGCAACCUGGACAGAUAUUGACGCUGAGGUGCGAAAGCGUGGGGAGCAAACAGG